rnacentral:rRNA from 1 species
GAAUGCUGACAUAAGUAACGAUAAAGCGGGUGAAAAGCCCGCUCGCCGGAAGACCAAGGGUUCCUGUCCAACGUUAAUCGGGGCAGGGUGAGUCGACCCCUAAGGCGAGGCCGAAAGGCGUAGUCGAUGGGAAACAGGUUAAUAUUCCUGUACUUGGUGUUACUGCGAAGGGGGGACGGAGAAGGCUAUGUUGGCCGGGCGACGGUUGUCCCGGUUUAAGCGUGUAGGCUGGUUUUCCAGGCAAAUCCGGAAAAUCAAGGCUGAGGCGUGAUGACGAGGCACUACGGUGCUGAAGCGACAAAUGCCCUGCUUCCAGGAAAAGCCUCUAAGCAUCAGGUAACAUCAAAUCGUACCCCAAACCGACACAGGUGGUCAGGUAGAGAAUACCAAGGCGCUUGAGAGAACUCGGGUGAAGGAACUAGGCAAAAUGGUGCCGUAACUUCGGGAGAAGGCACGCUGAUAUGUAGGUGAAGCGACUUGCUCGUGGAGCUGAAAUCAGUCGAAGAUACCAGCUGGCUGCAACUGUUUAUUAAAAACACAGCACUGUGCAAACACGAAAGUGGACGUAUACGGUGUGACGCCUGCCCGGUGCCGGAAGGUUAAUUGAUGGGGUUAGCGGUAACGCGAAGCUCUUGAUCGAAGCCCCGGUAAACGGCGGCCGUAACUAUAACGGUCCUAAGGUAGCGAAAUUCCUUGUCGGGUAAGUUCCGACCUGCACGAAUGGCGUAAUGAUGGCCAGGCUGUCUCCACCCGAGACUCAGUGAAAUUGAACUCGCUGUGAAGAUGCAGUGUACCCGCGGCAAGACGGAAAGACCCCGUGAACCUUUACUAUAGCUUGACACUGAACAUUGAGCCUUGAUGUGUAGGAUAGGUGGGAGGCUUUGAAGUGUGGACGCCAGUCUGCAUGGAGCCGACCUUGAAAUACCACCCUUUAAUGUUUGAUGUUCUAACGUGGGCCCCUUACCGGGGUUGCGGACAGUGUCUGGUGGGUAGUUUGACUGGGGCAGUCUCCUCCUAAAGAGUAACGGAGGAGCACGAAGGUUGGCUAAUCCUGGUCGGACAUCAGGAGGUUAGUGCAAUGGCAUAAGCCAGCUUGACUGCGAGCGUGACGGCGCGAGCAGGUGCGAAAGCAGGUCAUAGUGAUCCGGUGGUUCUGAAUGGAAGGGCCAUCGCUCAACGGAUAAAAGGUACUCCGGGGAUAACAGGCUGAUACCGCCCAAGAGUUCAUAUCGACGGCGGUGUUUGGCACCUCGAUGUCGGCUCAUCACAUCCUGGGGCUGAAGUAGGUCCCAAGGGUAUGGCUGUUCGCCAUUUAAAGUGGUACGCGAGCUGGGUUUAGAACGUCGUGAGACAGUUCGGUCCCUAUCUGCCGUGGGCGCUGGAGAACUGAGGGGGGCUGCUCCUAGUACGAGAGGACCGGAGUGGACGCAUCACUGGUGUUCGGGUUGUCAUGCCAAUGGCACUGCCCGGUAGCUAAAUGCGGAAGAGAUAAGUGCUGAAAGCAUCUAAGCACGAAACUUGCCCCGAGAUGAGUUCUCCCUGACUCCUUGAGAGUCCUGAAGGAACGUUGAAGACGACGACGUUGAUAGGCCGGGUGUGUAAGCGCAGCGAUGCGUUGAGCUAACCGGUACUAAUGAACCGUGAGGCUUAACCUUACAACGCCGAAG